GACGAAACGCUGGCGGCGUGCCUAACACAUGCAAGUCGAACGGAGAGAUACGAGAGCUUGCUCUUGUAAAUCUUAGUGGCGAAACGGGUGAGUAACGCGUAAACAACCUGCCCAACGGAUGGGGACAACAGACGGAAACGACUGCUAAUACCCAAUAGACUCCGGUUUCGCAUGAAACCGACAGGAAAGGUGGCCUCUCGAAGAAGCUACCGCCGCAGGAGGGGUUUGCGUUUUGAUUAGUUAGUUGGUGGGGUAACGGCCUACCAAGACGAUGAUCAAUAGCCGGUCUGAGAGGAUGAACGGCCACACUGGAACUGAGACACGGUCCAGACUCCUACGGGAGGCAGCAGUGAGGAAUAUUGGUCAAUGGGCGAGAGCCUGAACCAGCCAAGUAA
rnacentral:rRNA from 1 species